rnacentral:rRNA from 1 species
GUGCCAGCCGCCGCGGUAAUACGGAAGGUCCGGGCGUUAUCCGGAUUUAUUGGGUUUAAAGGGAGCGUAGGCCGCGUUUUAAGCGUGUUGUGAAAUGUAGACGCCCAACGUCUGCAUCGCAGCGCGAACUGGGACGCUUGAGUACGCGCAACGUUGGCGGAAUUCGUCGUGUAGCGGUGAAAUGCUUAGAUAUGACGAGGAACUCUGAUUGCGAAGGCAGCUGACGGGAGCGGCACCGACGCUUAAGCUCGAAGGUGCGGGUAUCAAACAGGAUUAGAUACCCUCGUAGUCC